GAAGGAGAGCUUGAGAGAUUCGAGUGUGCCUUCGGGACUCUGAGACAGGUGCUGCAUGGCUGUCGUCAGCUCGUGUUGUGAAAUGUUGGGUUAAGUCCCGCAACGAGCGCAACCCUUAUCCUUGUUUGCCAGCACUUCGGGUGGGAACUCCAGGGAGACUGCCGGUGAUAAACCGGAGGAAGGUGGGGACGACGUCAAGUCAUCAUGGCCCUUACGAGUAGGGCUACACACGUGCUACAAUGGCAUAUACAGAGGGCAGCAAGACCGCGAGGUGGAGCGAAUCCCAGAAAGUAUGUCGUAGUCCGGAUCGGAGUCUGCAACUCGACUCCGUGAAGUCGGAAUCGCUAGUAAUCGUGGAUCAGAAUGCCACGGUGAAUACGUUCCCGGGUCUUGUACACACCGAA
rnacentral:rRNA from 1 species